rnacentral:rRNA from 1 species
GACGUGACUUCAGAGUUUGAUCCUGGCUCAGGACGAACGCUGGCGGCGUGCCUAACACAUGCAAGUCGAACGGGGUAAUCCUUCGGGAUUGCUUAGUGGCGAACGGGUGAGUAACGCGUGAGAAACCUGCCUUUCAGUGGGGGACAACAGUUGGAAACGACUGCUAAUACCGCAUAACGUAUUUUAGGGGCAUCCCUUUGAUACCAAAGCUUUAUGUGCUGAAAGAUGGUCUCGCGUCUGAUUAGCUAGAUGGCGGGGUAACGGCCCACCAUGGCGACGAUCAGUAGCCGGUCUGAAAGGAUGAACGGCCACAUUGGGACUGAGAUACGGCCCAG